rnacentral:rRNA from 1 species
UUGUUGCGUUAAAAAGCUCGUAGUUGGAUUUUGGGAGUGAGCACGCUGUCGGCUUCGGUCGAACGGCGUGGCCGCUCUCUUUCUUCUGGGGACUGCUUCGUUAACUCGGAGUAGGACGCAGAUCGUUUACUGUGAAAAAAUUAGAGUGUUCAAAGCAGGCAACCGCUUGAAUACAUUAGCAUGGAAUAAUGGAAUAGGACGUCGGGCCUAUUUUGUUGGUUUCUGGGACCGUCGUAAUGAUUAAUAGGGACAGUUGGGGCCGUUUAUAUUCCGUAGUCAGAGGUGAAAUUCUUGGAUUUACGGAAGAUAGACUACUGCGAAAGCAUUCGGCAAGGAUGUUUUCGUUAAUCCAGAACGAAAGUUAGGGGAUCGAAGACGAUCAGAUACCGUCGUAGUCUUAACCUUAAACUAUGCCGACUCGGGAUCAGCA